rnacentral:rRNA from 1 species
CACGUAGGGCGCGAGCGUUGUCCGGAAUUAUUGGGCGUAAAGAGCUCGUAGGCGGCCUGUUGCGUCCGCUGUGAAAGCCCGGGGCUUAACCCCGGGUCGGCAGUGGAUACGGGCAGGCUAGAGGUAGGUAGGGGAGAAUGGAAUUCCCGGUGUAGCGGUGAAAUGCGCAGAUAUCGGGAGGAACACCGGUGGCGAAGGCGGUGCUCUGGGACUUACCUGACGCUGAGGAGCGAAAGCGUGGGGAGCGAACAGG